AGUGAACGCUGGCGGUAGGCCUAACACAUGCAAGUCGAACGGCAGCACAGUAAGAGCUUGCUCUUACGGGUGGCGAGUGGCGGACGGGUGCGGAAUACAUCGGAAUCUACUUUUUCGUGGGGGAUAACGUAGGGAAACUUACGCUAAUACCGCAUACGACCUACGGGUGAAAGCAGGGGAUCUUCGGACCUUGCGCGAGUGUAUGAGCCGAUGUCGGAUUAGCUAGUUGGCGGGGUAAAGGCCCACCAAGGCGACGAUCCGUAGCUGGUCUGAGAGGAUGAUCAGCCACACUGGAACUGAGACACGGUCCAGACUCCUACGGGAGGCAGCAGUGGGGAAUAUUGGACAAUGGGCGCAAGCCUGAUCCAGCCAUACCGCGUGGGUGAAGAAGGCCUUCGGGUUGUAAAGCCCUUUUGGUGGGAAAGAAAAGCAGCAGGUUAAUACCCCGCUGUUCUGACGGUACCCAAAGAAUAAGCACCGGCUAACUUCGUG
rnacentral:rRNA from 1 species